GAUGAACGCUGGCGGCGUGCUUAACACAUGCAAGUCGAACGGAAAGGCUCCUGCCUUCAUGUUUCCUCGAGUGGCGAACGGGUGAGUAACACGUGUGUGUUCUGCCCUGUACUUCGGGAUAAGCUUGGUAAACUGGGUCUCAUACCGGAUAUGACAAUCUCUUUUAUGUGGUUGUUGAUAGCUUUUUCGGUUUGGGAUGAUCUCGCGGCGUAUCAGCUUGUUUGUGGGGUUAUGUCCUACAAAGGCGUCGCCGGGUAGCCGGCCUGAGAGGGUGAAAGGCCACAUUGGGACAGAGAUACGGGCAAGACUCCUACGGGAGGAAGCAGUGGGGAAUAUUGCAAGAUGGGCGCAAGCAUGAUGCAGCGACGCCGGGUGGGGGAUGACGGCCGUAGGGUUGUAAACUCCUUGCGCAAGGGAAGAAGCUUUUGUGACGGUAGGUUGAGAAGAAGCACCGGCUAACUACGUG
rnacentral:rRNA from 1 species